CCUACGGGUGGCAGCAGUGAGGAAUAUUGGUCAAUGGGCGCGAGCCUGAACCAGCCAAGCAGCGUGAAGGAUGACUGCUCUACGGGUUGUAAACUUCUUUUAUAAAGGAAUAAAGUGAGGCACGUGUGCCUUUUUGCAUGUACUUUAUGAAUAAGGCUCGGCUAACUCUGGGCCAGCAGCCGCGGUAAUACGGAGGGUCCGAGCGUUAUCCGGAUUUAUUGGGUUUAAAGGGAGCGUAGUUGGGUUGUUAAGUCAGUUGUGAAAGUUUGCGGCUCAACCGUAAAAUUGCAAUUGAUACUGGCAGCCUUGAGUGCAGUAGAGGUAGGCGGAAUUCGUGGUGUAGCGGUGAAAUGCUUAGAUAUCACGAAGAACUCCGAUUGCGAAGGCAGCUUACUAAACUGCCACUGACAUUGAGGCUCGAAAGUGUGGGUAUCAAACAGGAUUAGAUACCCCUGUAGUC
rnacentral:rRNA from 1 species